ensembl:lncRNA
GUAAAAAAUUAGGCGCUGUGUUCUUGAGAGAGAAAGAGAGUAACAACUGUGAGAUGGAGCUAGACGGGCCAUGCUGAGAAUCCAGCUCUCCCAAUGGGCAGAGCUUUGCAGCAUCAAGGCUGAGGUCUGGAUCACUGAGGCAAAUGGUGCAAGAAGAGGGGGCACAAGUUCAAAUAAAUACUUGGGAAUAUUCCAGAAAGGAUCCCUCUGCCCUUUCCAACUGUAAAGUCAAAAAGCUAUCUAGAGGUUUAAUGCUCCCCAGGUGCAUCCCUUCUGGGGCUUCCCUGAUGGUUCAGUGGGUAAAGAAUCCACCUGCAAUGCAGGAGACACAGGAGAUAUAGUUCAAUCCCUGGGUGGGGAAGAUCCCCUGGAGAAGGAAAUGGCAACCCAUUCCAGUAUUCUUGCCUGGAAAAUCCCAUGGACAGAGGAGCCUGGUGGGCUACAGUCCGUGGGGUCACGAAGAGUGAGACAAGACUGAGCAUAAGGCACACGUGGAGGCAUAAGUGACUUUGUUUAUCUGUCCUCUUAAUAAGACCAUGUGCUCAUGUACAGAAAGACUGAGAGUCACACCGCUUAUCUGUCAUGUUACAUCUGCCUGAGAGAUUUGUGUUCAGAAGGCCGAGGUCCCAUAGCCUGGGUUUAUAAACAGGGCAUGAACAGCGGUAAUAUCUUUAUUUGAGACAUUUGAGGAUCAUGGAGAAACAACACAUCUUCGAAGGAGACAUGUUCUCAGAUUCAGUCUCUAAUGGGAUUACCUCCUCUUUCAACUCCAUUCUUUCCUUUCUUCCACUUGCUGUGAAGAAAUGCUGCCGAAAGUCGGCUGCCAUGUUUCAAGUUGCCUUAAGGAGAGGUUCAUCUGGCAACUAAGGGUGGUCUCCAGCCAACAGCUAUUGAGGAUCUGAGGCCCUCGAUGCAACAGCAGACAAGGAACUCAAUCGUGCCACCAACCCACAAGUCAACUUGGAAGCUGAUCCUUUCUCAGUUGAACCUUAAGAUAACUGCAGCCCUGGCCAACACCUGGACAGCAGCCUUUAGAGGUCCUGAACCAGAGGGCCCAGUUAAGCUGUACGAGGAAUCCUGACCCACAGAAACUGUAAAAGGUGAAGACUUGGAACAGAGAAGCAGCUGGAAUAGUGUGAGCAAGAAACAAAAAAAUCCACAGGAAUUGUGGGAUGUAGAAGAGCAAAGAAGAAGGAAGAGGAAAAGACAGAGGAAUCCUAGAAAUCCUGAGAGGCAGGUGGCCUGGGAGAAACUCCACAAAAAGCUGGGUGAAGGAUAUUGAACAAUAAGAAUGUCCAAUCAUCAGAAGAACGGUUAUUUUAUGCAAAGCAUCAGCAUCAGAUAUACAAAUUGCCAAUAUUUACUAGGUUUAUAAGUGCUAGAUUUGGGGGAAAGAGAGAUCAAUACUAGUUCCUCUCUAAAAUAUAUCUCUUAGAUACUACAAUUGAGUUCUUUUUGCCUUGUCUGCAGUGGACAUUUGGUUACACUGAGCUCUAAGGAGCAACCCCAAUUUUUUUGUCAAAUUCAAAUUUAUCUUGAUCAUAUAUUCUUUUAGAAUAUUUAUAAGCCAGAACUUGAAUAUAUCUUGUGCUGUGCAAACACUGUCCGAAUUGUUCGAUCUGUGUCUGUGUGUUUGGACUGGUCAAAUCGGACCCUUCAGAUUGUAAAGCCUUUAGGAGUAACUCUAAAAUAUAAAUAUUUCUGUAGCCCCUGCAUUUGUCACAAGAAAAUUAUUAUUGAUUAUGAUCGUGAUGUUUGAAUCCUGAAGUCUGUGUACAAAAGUAAAAUAUUUAUACACAUGUUAAUACAACUCCAGUUGGCUUCCCCCUAUCUGUUUCUUUCACUUGUGUCUUCGCUUCAUUUGGUACUGUCGAUCAAUCACUUAUUGAAUGACGCUUCUUCAUGGGCUGCCAUUAUAUUAAGUUCUUGGCUCUCCUUCUAGCUCCCUGCUUCCUCAUUGCCCCCAGCUAUCUUUGGCUUUCUCUCACCUCUUAAUUUUGAAUAUUACACAUCAAUCUUUCUGAAGCUUUCCUUUUCCUUGCUCCCAUUAUCACCUCUAACCUAAUGC